rnacentral:rRNA from 1 species
AACAAACGCUGGCGGCGUGCCUAACACAUGCAAGUCGUACGAGAAAGGGUCCUUCGGGACCUGAGUAAAGUGGCGCACGGGUGAGUAGCGCGUGGAUAAUCUACCCUUCAGUUGGGAACAACUCAUCGAAAGGUGGGCUAAUACCGAAUAAUACUGCUCGACCUUGGUCGAGCAGCCAAAGAGAGCCUCUGCUUGCAAGCCCUCACUGAAGGAUGAGUUCGCGUACCAUUAGCUUGUUGGUAGGGUAAUGGCCUACCAAGGCGACGAUGGUUAGCUGGUCUGAGAGGAUGAUCAGCCACACUGGAACUGAGACACGGUCCAGACUCCUACGGGAGGCAGCAGUGAGGAAUCUUAGACAAUGGGCGCAAGCCUGAGUCUAGCCAUGCCGCGUGAGCGAUGAAGGCCUUAGGGUGUAAAGCUCUUUCAGUGGGAAGAUAAUGACUGUACCCACAGAAGAAGCCCCGGCUAACUCCGUGCCAG